UACGGGGGGAGCAAGCGUUGUUCGGAUUUACUGGGCGUAAAGGGCGCGUAGGCGGUCAGCACAAGUCAGUUGUGAAAUCUCCGGGCUUAACCCGGAAAGGUCAACUGAUACUGUGCGACUAGAGUGCGGAAGGGGCAACUGGAAUUCUCGGUGUAGCGGUGAAAUGCGUAGAUAUUGAGAGGAACACCUGCGGCGAAGGCGGGUUGCUGGGCCGACACUGACGCUGAUGCGCGAAAGCCAGGGGAGCGAACGGG
rnacentral:rRNA from 1 species